UACGGAGGGGACUAGCGUUGUUCGGAAUUACUGGGCGUAAAGCGCACGUAGGCGGAUUUGUAAGUCAGGGGUGAAAUCCCGGGGCUCAACCUCGGAACUGCCUUUGAUACUGCAAAUCUCGAGUCCGGAAGAGGUGAGUGGAAUUCCUAGUGUAGAGGUGAAAUUCGUAGAUAUUAGGAAGAACACCAGUGGCGAAAAGCGACUUCCUGGACCAGUACCGACGUUCAGGCACGAAAGCGUGGGGAGCAAACAGG
rnacentral:rRNA from 1 species